UUAUGGGGACAGCGGAGGGACAUUAGCGAGUUACCGCAAAACUCCAUAACCCUUUGUGAACCUACCUACUGUUGCCUCGGCGUCGCGCUGCGGCUGACGCCCGCCCCUACCCGCCCUACCCGGGAGAGGAGGGGGCGGGCCUCAGCCGGCUGAACCAGCCCGCCAAAGGACCUACAAACCAAACCCUAAAUCAAACGUACCUUCUGAAAGAAUCAACUUUGAAACUUAAAUAAGUCAAAACUUUCAACAACGGAUCUCUUGGCUCUGGCAUCGAUGAAGAACGCAGCGAAAUGCGAUAAGUAAUGUGAAUUGCAGAAUUCAGUGAAUCAUCGAAUCUUUGAACGCACAUUGCGCCCGCCAGCAUUCUGGCGGGCAUGCCUAUCCGAGCGUCAUUACGACCCUUAAGCCCCCCGGGCUUAGCGUUGGGAUUCCGCGCCUUCCGGGGCGCGGUUCCCUAAAGCCAUCGGCGGCGCCGCGGCUCCACUUCUGAGCGUAGUAAUCUACAGUUCCUCGCCCCUGAAGUGGCCGCGGCCGCCUGCCGCAAAACCCCACCAACUCUCAGUGGUUGACCUCGGAUUAGGUAGGGAUACCCGCUGAACUUAAGCAUAUCAA
rnacentral:rRNA from 1 species